CCUCAAUUUUGGGUGGAAAUUCCCCAAUUUUGGAUGGAAAUUCCCCAAUUUUGGGUGCAAAUUCCUCAAUUUUGGCUGGAGAUUCUCCAAUUUUGGGUGCAAAUUCCUCAAUUUUGGAUGGAAAUUCCCCAAUUUUGGGUGGAAACCCCCCAGUUUUGGGUGCGAAUUCCUCAAUUUUGGGCGGAAACCCCCCAAAUUUAGGCGGAAAUUCCCCAAAUUUAUGCGGAAACCCCCCAAAUUUGGGUGGAAACUCCCAAAUUUUGGGUGCAAAUUCCCCACUUUUGGGUGCGAAUUCCUCGAUUUCGGGCGGAAACUCCCCAAUUUUGGGUGGAAAAUCCCCACUUUUGGGUGCGAAUUCCUCGAUUUCGGGCGGAAAUUCCCCGAUUUCGGGGCUCCCACACCUGGGCCAGGUGCGCGGCCGUGGCCACGCCCACCCCGGGGGGCGCCGGGACCCCCAAACCCCAAAUUUGGGGCGGCUCCGGGAGGAAGAGGAGGAUGAAGACAUGGAGGGGUCCGAGCCCCCCGAAAUGGCGGCAGAACCCCAAAACCCCGACGGACGGGGGGAGGCGCCCCCAGACCGGAGCUCGAGCCCCGCUGGCGGCAAAGGAGACCCCAAAAUUCCGGGGGAAUAAUUUGGGGGUGAGGGAGGGAUUUUUUUUUAUUUUUUUUUCCCCAGAAAUUCACCCCAAAAAAAAUUUGGGGGGGUUUUUAUGGGACCUCCCCCAAAAUUCUUUCACCUCCCCAGCUCCUCAUCAAUAAAAACGAUAAAACCC